GAGUUUGAUCCUGGCUCAGGAUGAACGCUGGCGGCGUGCUUAACACAUGCAAGUCGAACGGGGACUUACGAGAAGAUCUUUUCGGAGUGAUUUUUGUAAGAUCUAGUGGCGGACGGGUGAGUAACGCGUGGGUAACCUGCCCUGUACAGGGGGAUAACAGUUAGAAAUGACUGCUAAUACCGCAUAAGCGCACAACCUCGCAUGAGGGAGUGUGAAAAGCCGAGACGGUACAGAAUGGGCCCGCGUUGGAUUAGCUGGUUGGCGGGGUAACGGCCCACCAAGGCGACGAUCCAUAGCCGGCCUGAGAGGGUGGACGGCCACAUUGGGACUGAGACACGGCCCAAACUCCUACGGGAGGCAGCAGUGGGGAAUAUUGCACAACGGGGGAAACCCUGAUGCAGCGACGCCGCGUGAAGGAAGAAGUAUUUCGGUAUGUAAACUUCUAUCAGCAGGGAAGAAAGUGACGGUACCUGAGUAAGAAGCCCCGGCUAACUACGUGCCAGCCGCCGCGGUAAUUC
rnacentral:rRNA from 1 species